rnacentral:rRNA from 1 species
UCCUUUGACGUUAGCGGCGGACGGGUGAGUAACACGUAGGUAACCUACCUAUAAGACUGGGAUAACUUCCGGGAAACCGGAGCUAAUACCGGAUAAUAUUUCGAACCGCAUGGUUCGAUAGUGAAAGAUGGCUUUGCUAUCACUUAUAGAUGGACCUGCGCCGUAUUAGCUAGUUGGUAAGGUAACGGCUUACCAAGGCAACGAUACGUAGCCGACCUGAGAGGGUGAUCGGCCACACUGGAACUGAAACACGGUCCAGACUCC